GGAGGGGCGACAUUUGCUUCUGUCCAAUUGGUUCUGUAGCCUCUUUGGAACUAGAUUUUCUUCAAGAGAAUUGGUGCUCAGUGUCACAGGCUGCCUUGUUUGGUUGCCUGAAGUUUCUAUUAAAAGUGUCACUUUACUGACUGUUAAUAUUGGCCUCUUCCCAGGGAGAUGUGGACGCUCCAAGUAUCAGCCUGCAGACCCACUGCAAAGCCACCCGUUUUCUCAACCAGCAAAAACGAUUACGUGUACCCUGAUAAUAUCCUUCAUUUCAGCCUAACUGGAAUUGUCUGUGUUUUCCUAAUACCGUCCCCUAACACCUAUAUCUUUUCCUCAUCUCUUUUCCCUGUUUCUGAGGAUUGAGUUCAGUCCUCUGCUUUGCUCUCACUUUCUCUCUGCCUCUUUUUAUCUCUGUCUCUGAGUUCUUGUGUCUGCCAUUAUCUGUCUCUUACUGUGUUCUCGGUUUUUAUCACUGUGUGUCUGUGUCCUGCCUGAUGGUUUCUCUACCUCAGCUUUUGAGGGCAAUGCAGUGGUCUUGUGUCUCAGGGUCUCUCCAUAUCAGAGGUCUCUUCCUGACAGGCUGUGGUGUUUCUAACUCUUAGGACCACCCCCUAUAGCCAGCUAGGGGGAUUUUCUGGCAGGAAACCCUUCCUCUUCGGCCAUCAGGUGCCUCCAAGGUUAUCGUGGGGACAGUAUGACCAGAACACCCAGCCCCGCUUCUGUCAAAAAACCUGGCCACAUAGCUCUGCAGUGAUACAUCCAUGGAAGAUUCAUGAAGAAUAAUGUAACAGAGAUAUGAAUCAACCUUCUCUUUUUUAUCCCUCCAGCUCUAUCCAUCUGCCACACAAGUAUGAGCUCACAGAUGGUUAUUGGCAUUUCUUCAUCCUUUGGAAACAGUCUCUUUCAAAGAGAAAAUCUCUUUCUCUAGUGUGAGAAACCUAUUUCUAUUUUUAUUUCCACAUGGGCAAGUAAACUGGACGGCUGACCAUUUUCCUAUCCCCUACUUUAUUUGCUGUUCUUGAAGUUCCCAACUUCUCCAGCCCACUGUCCUCACCUGCUCCAGGAAGACAUGACCAUUUGAUUGGAUCUUCACUGGAAGAAUCUAGCUUUACCUCCUGGGACACAAAGGGAGUGGCAGUGCUCCUUCAGGAUCCCAGCAAGCCUCAGGACAGAAACCAAAUGCUCCUUUGUUGAACAACGAGUUCCUGACUCUUCUGGAAAUGAGAAACAUCUUAGCAAUUAGGGAACUAUUUCCUUCCUCACUCUGAGUGAAGGCUGCACUGUCGUCAAAACCUCACAUCUGUCCUGGGGACCUGCACAGAUAUUCCAUCUAACUGGCUCAGGAUCCCAGGAGAUAGCUUGUGAGCUCUCACCCUGCAGGUGCACACGAAGCAAGCCUGAGGUGUGGGACCACCCACACCACCCCUGGAAAUCCCAGCCCCUCCCAGCUUCCCAGACACUCCUGGUUGUCAUCCAGCUGCCCGGGGUGGGGGCUGGGGCGUGGCUCCAGCGUGUUCAGUGAAUGGAAGGAGGUGGUGGGUGGAGAGCAGGUAGGCUUGUAGGGGAGCAUGAGGGUGGGCCGAAGGAGGACAUCCUGGGUGCAGGAGACUGAGGCUGGAAAGGGAAGAACACACUGGGGAAGGACCAGCUCUUUAAAGGAUCUAAGCAGAGGGACUUUCCUUCUAGAAUCUGGGGAAAACAUUCAUUUGCCAGACUUUAAUUUUUUGCCCUUCGCUGGUAAGAUUUCCAGAAACAUCAGUAAAAAAUCCUGUGCGAGAGUGUUAGGGAGUUUGCAGGACCGUCAGUGAAGGGGAGGGUCCUUGGGUCCACGACCACCCCUCUCUGUGUGCCUGUAGAGAGGGGACAUCACCUACUGCGUGCAGGUGACGGCAGCAGGGGCCACGUGCCACAGAAGAGCUGUGUGCUGGGAGGGCUCGGCCGUGACCCCCGUGCUUGAGGCCGCGGUGGUCCCGGCUCUGAAUGCACAAUGGUUUCACUCAGUCCCUUCACAGAAACAGCCAGGGAUCCAGUCAGCUCCCGGGGGCGCCCGGGGCACAGUGAGUAAGUCUGAAAAGCUGCCGACACAGCGCUGGGAAGCACAGCUCUAGAGGAAGAUGAUCUCUUGCGGGUGCGGACACCCACCUGCCUUGGGGACAGACCUCCCCUGGUGACUGCUGGCCAUCUGCACAGCCCUCCCUGGGGCAAGACAGUGACAAGAAUCAAGUGAAAUGUGCGGCUUUUCCAGCUCCUUCAGUCAAGCUCACCUGUGACAGGCCCCACACCCAGCAUGAAGCAUCACCCGGAACACCUGGGUGUGUGAGUCACCGUGACUCUGCCCCGGGUGGGUCAGGCGGGUGGGAAUUCCCGGAGCUCUGGGCGGGCACCAGCCUCCCCGCCGCCCCGCGUGGCCCCGCCUGCUGGGAAAGGGCUUGGCCUCUGCUCCCGGGCACCGUGUGAAUUCGCAUCCCUGGUGCCUCGGUUACCCUGCCUCCACUCCUCCCGGUCCUGCUGGCACCUGCGGGCUUGGCUCACCUGCAGGGGAUGGUGGAGAGGGGCAGCUGCUCAUGAGAGCAAGAAGGACGGGGAAGCACAGCCAUGAGGGAAAGUCUUCCAGGACUUCGUCAGCUCCAGCAAUCCGCCUGCCUUCAGGGGGCCACCCUGUGGGAGCCUGAGGGUCCUGGGUAGCCGGUGGCCCACCUGUGCUGCAGGGAAGGAGCCGGCUGGAUGCGGGAAUGGGGACAGCGCCCCUGAGCCCGCCCCACCUUCCAGUACGGGCUGGUCCAGUCCGCCUUCCAGAAGCCACGAGGUGGCCUCCCACCUGACUUAAGCCAUUCACCACAAUAUCUGAACAUGCAUCUUACUCAGAAAAUGGAUUUUGACGAGAAGUCAGGUGGUGGCCUGGGACUUCUGGACGUGAGCAAGGGUACCAGUGAGCCAUGCAGGUGCACAGAAGAGGCCCAUCAUAAAUUCAUCACAGGAGAGAGACCAACCUCCUGCAAUCAUGUCUUUGUCUACUGAGGUACUGUACUUGAGUAACUUACAGAAAUAGCUCUCGGUUUCCCUUCAUGUGAACAUUCUAAUUUUAACUUUUGUUCUUAAAAAUACAGUUCAUUGAUUGUCACAAAGAGCUUGGGUUUAGAAGGACAUGUUUGCCCCCUGUACUCAUCAGGAGUUGCACAAAGCGUCAACACAAUUAUUGACUAGAGUCGGGACUAGAACCCAAGUAUCAGCAUUCCUGGUGAAUGUGACUUCCUCUGCUCGCACACCCACGUCUGUUGGCAUCUGGGGCUCACAGAGUCACAUGCCUUUGCAAGGAAAGUGCCUUUCCCCAGAGCUUGAGCCCCUGUCCUGGCCAGUGUCCAUCUUUCUGAGGUUGUGGCCAAGAAGACAUUCUGAGAAACAAAGGUGUGUUCUCUUAGAAAUGUCAGUGUCGUGUAAGACAAAAAAAGAAAGCCCACACUUGGACUUUUCUGGCUUGAAGCGAACUCGGUUAGCAACCUGGAUAUGUUGUCUGAUCGCCAUUUGGGCUGGAUCACUUAACUUUCUAUGCUUAUUUUGUCUUAAAUGAAAUAGGAAUCAUAACGUGCCCGUUACAGGUGCCUUGGAUAGAUAGGUAGGAGGCAGCAGUGACUUCUCGAAGGAUGUUCUCAGAGCCCCCAGAGAAAAGAAGAGCAGAGUGGAGGCAAAUCACAGAGGGGGUCCAUAGGAAGCAGACAGAAGGGGGAAAACAGGCUGACACUUCCCUGCUCUCCUGAAAGCCUCAUGCCUAACUGCAGCGUCCACUGCCUGGCUGGCUCAGUCGGUAGAGCACGAGAGAUGCAUUUAGACCUAACAGAGACAUUUUUUCAGACCCCUCUGCCUCCCACCUGGGUUUGAUGUCAUUUCCCUGCCGCCAGGAUACAGCGCUAUCCCUGCUGUCCUCAUAGGUAAUGCUAAUGUUAGUCAUCUGACCUCCGGGAAUUGUUUUGAUCUAUCAAGAAAGAGGCAGACACGGUGUUAAUGAUCUCAGUUUCCCUUCAUUUGGACAUACUAAUUUUAAUUUUUGUUUUUACAACAAGGGGACUCCCUGGGUCCAGUAAGGUACUUUCCUGUAACCCAAGAGAUAAACUGAGUCAGUCCAAACCUGCAAGGUGUAGUGACCACCACCCGCGUGGACAGGUAGAAAAAACUAGGUGUGGCUGUUAUUAAAGUCAAGGGAGCGAAAUGGGGAUUUGAUUGACUGAGCCUGUCUACCUGGCCCCCACCCCAGCAGACCAGGGGUAUGGAGGAGAAAAUAGAUUCCUCCACGAAGGGUCACCCCGGGGGAUGGAUGGACAGGGAUCAAAGCUCUCGGAAGGUCCGGAGGUGCAGUGGGAGGCAGGACACUGUGUGUGGAAGGUGGGCGUGGAGGGCAGACAUGGAGGCAGCCAGGCGUGGUAUGACUGGCCCUGUAAGGACCUAAAGCAAUUUCUGGCUAACGGGUCUCUUCCCACCAGGGGUACAGCUGGUGUCCAUAAAGCCUCCCAUCCUCAGGGUCCUGCAUUAAGCAGACUUCUGUGAAAAGAACAAAGCAAGCGUAACUGACAGAGCUGCUGACUGGAACUUGCCUUGAGGGGCCACGGGGCCCAUUCGUUGUCUCCAAGGGGGACUGUAAAAAUUACCGCACUUGGUAGAAAAAUAUCAGUUGUGACCUUAUUCUUCUGAAUCCCAAGAUCUCUUUGGGUAACAUGCUUGAAUGUUUUAUAGUCUUAAUACCCAGAAGUUCUUUCUUAUGUUAGAUUUAGGACUUUCUUGAUGCAACGUCUUUGCCUACAGUCAAAGUAUGCCUUUGUUUAUAUACAUACAUAUUUAUCCUUAGGCACAUUUAUUUGUCUUUUUGAAUGCAUAUUUAAAAUUUAAGAAUUAUGCAGUAACUUGACGGGGUAUUUCAUUUUAUUUUUUUAAUUUUUUUUAUUAAAAAAAUUUUUUUUAACGUUUAUUUAUUUUUGGGACAGAGAGAGACAGAGCAUGAACGGGGGAGGGGCAGAGAGAGAGGGAGACACAGAAUCGGAAGCAGGCUCCAGGCUCUGAGCCAUCAGCCCAGAGCCCGACGCGGGGCUCAAACUCACGGACCGCGAGAUCGUGACCUGAGCUGAAGUCGGACGCUUAACUGACUGAGCCACCCAGGCGCCCCUUGACGGGGUAUUUUCAAAGAUAAAGUAAUUAAAAAUCUCCAAUAAUCUUCACAUUGGAACCUAAAAUCUUUUUUUUUCUUUCAGACAUACUUUGGCUAAUUAAUUUUACAUCAGAUAUAUGAAAAUUUGUAUCUUGUAUUUUCCAAGAUAGAAAAUUGCCUUGAAAUCUUUAUCUUAUGCAUUUUAUGUUUUUUAUUUGCUUUUAUGUUUAUUAUACCUAAGGGAUAUAUAACAUCCCUUAAGUAGAUAUACCGUAGUUUGAUAAGUGCUCUAGUUUGAAAUUUAGAUUGAUUUAAAAAAUUUCUCAAAAGAUUUUUGUUAUUUCUUGAGAACAAUUACCUUUUCUCAACUGAGAUAAGAACACUCACCAUGAGACUUACUCCUAUUAAGAAAUGUUUAAGUGCACAAUACAGUAUUUUAACCACAGGCACAAUGUUGUACAGCAGAUCUUUAGGACUUACUCAUUUUGCAUAACUAUAACUUUGCACCCAUUGAAGAGUCAGUUGUUUCUGAGAAGCAGAAUAACUGAGUCAUUGAGUCAAUGGCAAUGCUUCCGGGUUUGUAUGUAAGUACUAGUUUUCACCAUACAUGCCCUGUGCCUGAGUAUCAGCCUCGUGUGAGUGUGUCUGUGUGUGAAUUAAGUAUGGAAUGCAUUUAUCCAGAAAGAAGUCUGGAAAAGCAGCAUUCUGGGAGGAGAUCUAUGUGCCACUCUAUGCACCACUGGGAAUUCAGUGGUCUACAUGAGCUGUGGAAUCUUUAUCGUAACCCAGCUGGAACCCAGACACAACAAUCUCGCAAAGGAUUUUUUUUUAAUUUUUUAAUGUUUAUUUAUUUUUGAAAGAGAGAGACAGAGUGCGAGCAGGGGAGGGGCAGAGACAGAAGGAGACACGGAAUCCAAAGCGGGCUCUGGGCUCUGAGCUGUCAGCACAGAGCCCCACGGGGGGCUUGAACUCAUGAACCGAGAUCAUGACCUGAGCUGAAGUUGGACACUCAACUGACGGAGCCUCCCAAGUGCUCCAAAGGAUUUUUUUUGAGGACAUAGCAUCUCCUUUCUUUGUUUUCAUGUUUUAUUGAGAUAUCAUUGACAUCAGAAAUGAUGAUCUUUUUUUCUCCCUCUUUCUAGUUUUGAGACAUAAGUGAUACAGAGCACUGUGUAAAUUUAAGGUGUACAGCAUAAUGAUCUGACUUGCAUAUGCCAUAAAAUAAUUACCACAAGUUUAGUUAACAUCCAUCAUCUCCUAUAGACAACUCCCCCCCCCCACCCAAAAAAAGGAGAUAGAAAAGGAAUAAAAUGGGUUUUUCCUUGUGAUGAGCAGAGAGGACUCUUGACUCAUAAAAGGUAAAGAAAGGUGUAGAAGAUGAUGGAUUCAAAAUUUUAUAACAUGGGUUAUAAACAGUUUACUAAUAGUCACCUUAAGCCCAAAAAUAAUCACCACUUAGACAUAUUUCAUGGCAAAUUCUGCUAUUGCCUCACUAUGAAUCUAGCGAGUAGAGAUUUUUUUUUUAAGUUCCCAUUAUUCGGGGAAUGAUUAGAAGCCCCCGGAGCAGAAUCCCAGUGAGGACCAAGGGUAAAGGACCAGGCGUGGGGACUCCUGCCAUCCACCAAUGCCCACGUGACAAAUGAAAAUUUGGAAAGGUCAUAACAAAUGUACUCUGAGCCACCAGCAGUGGGCACAGGCAGUAGACUCCCAGGACACAGUAGAUUUUCAUGCAGGGUGACUUUCACUCAACCGAAGGGGACAGAAAAUACUGUUUGCACAUUUUCAUCUCAUGAGAUUGAAGAGAGUUGUAAGUUCAUUUUCCCAGGAAAGCCCAGGUCUGACGCUGACCCUUUAUUCCCAGUGGUGUUAAUAAAAUGCUCUUAUAAGUACAGAAACACGAAGAAGCAAACUGCAGAUGGCCUCCUAUCUUCCUCAAAGAGAAAGCCCAAAUCUUGCUGGGAUCCCUGGGUUCAUUACCUAACAAUGCUACCACUCUGGCCUCACAGCUGACUGUAGCUCCCUAGUUCCCUUUGCUGCAGUCACACUGGCCUCGUCCUGCUGCUCCACAAACACAUACAGCACCUUGCCUCCCUGGGGCACUGGCACUGUCCUCUCUUCCCCCUGGGAUGCCUUCCACCCGCCAAAUGCAGAGGGCCUGCCCCCCGACCCCCCGCCACUCUCUGUCUGUACCCAGGGAGGCUCCCCCACCUCCCGCACCCAGCCCCAAGCCCCUGCCUGACAAGGUGUCAUCCCUUCCUGGAUUUUUCUUAUUCCACGUCAUUUAUCACUUUAAUACAUCAUACAUUUUACUCACCUGUCAUGCUUAUUGUCUGUCCCUCUUGGUAGAGUGUGGGCAGAGAUUUUGUUCAUCGCUGGACUUCUGGUACCCAAAACAAUGCCUGGGCUGCUGUGGAUGCUUACUAGAUAUGUGUUGAAUGGACGAGUGAGUGAGUGAGUGAGUGAAUGAAUUAAUGGAUGAGGGAACGAAUUAAUGAAUGGAUGAGUGAACAAAUGGAUGAGUGAACGAACUAAUGGAUGGAUGAGUGAAUGAAUGGAUAAGUGAGUGAAUGAGUGAAUGGAUAAGUGAAUGAAUGAAUGAGUGAAUGAGUGAAUGGAAACAGCGGCCCCAGUAGAGAGAUUUAAGGAGAAAGGUGACACGCUAGACGUGUAUUUGCAGGGAGGGCGCCAACGCUCCCUAUCUCCCUCUCAGCCACCCCAACAUUCUGUUUCCUUUACAAACUCCUCACACAUACACCUUCCCUCCUUCUCGAUUUCAUACUUAAUCACUAUUCUGACUCUUACACCAAAGGCAAAAAUGAAAGGCUCCUUGAGUAAAUCUUUGCUCUCACUGCUUAGGAGACGCUGGCAUUAAAUACCCGAGGCUGCGUUCCUAGUGGAGUCCCAUCUCCGGCCCCUGUCCCUCAACCGGACGGAACGGAGACAACGUGGAGGCAGAGGCAUCCUUGCCUUUGUUCCGGGGUCCCUGCUUGUUGUCCGGGCCCACCUUCCUUUGCAGGACGACUCACCCCCUUUCCCGUGCUCAUCUUCUAGACCCACGCUGUCUCACGUCCCCUCCCAGAGCCCCCGCCAAGUGCUGAGGUGGUUCCCCCAUUCUGUGCCUCCCUGAACUGUUAGCAUCACUCAGUCAGGUCCUUCUGCUGCCCCGAAAGCUGCCCCCUCACGAAGGUUUGCAAGCCUUCCACUCGGAUUUCUUGUCUCCCUGCCUCUCCCGGAAUCCGCAUUGGUCCCUUCAAGCCCCUGUGGGGUGUCCUGAAUGCCUGAUCCAGUACAACAUGUCCAGAGCCAACCUGGUCCUGUCCAUGUCCCUCCUGCUCUCUCUUGUCCUGUGCGAGCUGCCUCAGUUAACCGUUCUUUUCUGUCCCAUGCCCUUCCUUCUUCUCUGUCACCAAACCUGAGAACCCCACAUCAUCGGGGACCCAUUUCUUUCCCCUUCCUAGCCAUUAUCUCCACCUUGGUCACUGAAUGGCUGUUCUGGACGUCCACAGUUGCCAUCAGCCCUUACCUGGUAUUCCUGCUUCUGGUCUCAUGCAUUUCUAAUCUACCCCCAAGUCUUUCAUUAGAAGGAACAUUCUAAAAUUGAAACAAUGAUGGUGUCACUCCUCUGGAGGUACCUGAUAACCCCCUCUUGUUUAGCAGCUGAGAUCUGGAGCAUCAUAUUUAUUUUCUUUGACAACUUCUCACCAUUUUCCUGCACGCUCCUCAUUUGAGACUUGUAAUGAAUCCGUCUCAUAGUGAUGCUGAACUUCUCACCAUUUGCUUAGCAAACCAUUCUUUCACAUCUUCAUGCCUCUCUGCAAACUGUACCCCUUGCCUGGGAAUCUCUGCCUCUCUCUUUUGCUUAACAAACUCCUACUCAUCCUCCAAAACCCUGCUUGAAUUUCCCCAGGAAUCCUUUCUUAAAUCUCUUAUAUUUAUCUGCUCCAUAUAUUGCCUUGGAUAUAUUCACAUGAUAAAAUGUGUGGCAUUUUAUUUUUUAAGUUUAUUUGGCUGUGUUUCUCCUCACAUAUUCAUGUUUCCAAUUUGUUACAUUUCUCAGUGCCCAGGAACAAAAUAGGUACUCAAAAAUAUUUUUCUCUUUUUUAAAAAAAAUUUUAAUGUUUAAUUUUGAAAAAGAGAGAGAGAGUGAUCAUGAGCAAGGGAGGGGCAGAGAGAGGGAGACCCAGAAUCUGAAGCAGGCUCCAGGCUCCAAGCUGUCAGCGCAGAGCCUGAUGUGGGAUUUGAACUCAUGGAACCAUGAGAUCAUGACCUGAGCCAAAAUCGAGAGUUGGACGCUUAACCAACUGAGCCACCCAGGCGCCCCUUCUCUCUUUUUUUAAUGUUUAUUUAUUUAUUUUUUGAGAGGGGGUAACGGGUAGAAAGAGGGAGAGAGAAUCCCAAGCAGUCUCUGCAUUGUCAGGGCUGAGCCCGAUGCAGGGCUGGAAUCAUGAACCAUGAUAUCAUGACCUGAGCCAAAAUUAAGAGUCAGAUGCUUAACUGACUGAGCCACGCAGGCGCUCCUCAAAAAACAUUUUUAUUUUUAUUUUAUUUUUAAUUUCUUUUUAAUGUUUAUUUUUGAGAGAGAAACAGAGCGAGAGCAGGGGAGGGACAGACAGGGAGACACAGAACCUGAAGCAGGCUCCAGGCUCCGAGCUGUCAGCACAGAGCCCUAUGCGGGGCUCGAACCCACGAACCGUGAGAUCAUGACCUGAGAUGAAGUCAUGGCUUAACCGACUGAGCCACCCGGGCGCCCCCUCAAAAAAAAAAUUUUU